rnacentral:rRNA from 1 species
AAUGGAGGCAACUCUGACCCAGCCAUGCCGCGUGCAGGAAGACGGUCUAUGGAUUGUAAACUGCUUUUAUUUGUGAAUAACUCCGGUACGUGUACCGGCCUGAAUGUAGCAAAUGAAUAAGCACCGGCUAACUCCGUGCCAGCAGCCGCGGUAAUACGGAGGGUGCAAGCGUUAUCCGGAAUCAUUGGGUUUAAAGGGUCCGCAGGCGGAUGUAUAAGUCAGUGGUGAAAUCCUACAGCUUAACUGUAGAACUGCCAUUGAUACUGUACAUCUUGAAUUCGGUCGAAGUGGGCGGAAUAUGUCAUGUAGCGGUGAAAUGCUUAGAUAUGACAUAGAACACCGAUAGCGAAGGCAGCUCACUAGGCCUGGAUUGACGCUCAGGGACGAAAGCGUGGGUAGCGAACAGGAUU